CGGGUGAUAGGGUCGGGUCGGAGGCGAGGGGAGAGGAGCGCGGCCGCCUGGACCCCGGGCCCACAGGAGAGAUGGCAGCAUGCCCCGGGCCUCCUUGUGAUGUCUGGAGGCUGGACAGCCAAGAAGGAAGAAAAUGGACUCCCUCCUUCUGAAGACGUGCCUGAAAGCCAGCUGCAAGUGAGUGCUGGAGUGUACAGUGCCUCAGACGAGAACAGCUAGGCGAGGCAGGAAGCCCAAGAUCAGAUAGCCCUAUCUCACAUGGGUCUCAUGCAGUAACAUGAACGAGACAGCAGUCAGCAGGACAGGGCUCGCUGAGGCUUCCACAGAGCCAGGGAUCUCAGAGUGACAGACCUUGUUCAAGACACAGCAGCGCUUCCAUGGGAAAAAUGCCUGGCUGUGGGCCCACAGGAUGGCCUUCCUGUUCCACCACUCACAGGCCUUGCCUUUCUAGCUCUACCCAGAGCUCCUUCAUGGUGCUCAGAAGUCAAGGAAGGCCUUGAUCAGUUUAGUUUUAGACCAAGAAUUUACUAAAAUGCCUCUCCACCCCCGCAUAUGGUUCCUCUGGUUUCCAGCUGACUCUCAGACUAAAUG